AUUGAACGCUGGCGGCGUGCCUAACACAUGCAAGUCGAGCGGUAACAGGUGUAGCAAUACAUGCUGACGAGCGGCGAACGGGUGAGUAAUGCUUCGGAAUCUGCCCAUGUAGUGGGGAAUAACCAGCCGAAAGGUUGGCUAAUACCGCAUACGACCUACGGGUGAAAGCAGGGGAUCGCAAGACCUUGCGCUAUUGGAUGAGCCGAAGUCGGAUUAGCUGUUGGUAGGGUAACGGCCUACCAAGGCGACGAUCCGUAGCUGGUCUGAGAGGGCGACCGGCCACACUGGGACUGAGACACGGCCCAGACUCCUACGGGAGGCAGCAGUGGGGAAUCUUGCGCAAUGGGCGAAAGCCUGACGCAGCGGACGCCGCGUGAGGGAUGACGGCCUCGG
rnacentral:rRNA from 1 species